rnacentral:rRNA from 1 species
GAUGAACGCUAGCGACAGGCUUAACACAUGCAAGUCGAGGGGCAUCAUGAGGUAGCAAUACCUUGAUGGCGACCGGCGCACGGGUGAGUAACGCGUAUGCAACCUGCCCGAUACCGGGGUAUAGCCCAUGGAAACGUGGAUUAACACCCCAUAGUACUUUUAUCCUGCAUGGGAUGUGAGUUAAAUGUUUAAGGUAUCGGAUGGGCAUGCGUCCUAUUAGUUAGUUGGCGGGGUAACAGCCCACCAAGACGAUGAUAGGUAGGGGUUCUGAGAGGAAGGUCCCCCACAUUGGAACUGAGACACGGUCCAAACUCCUACGGGAGGCAGCAGUGAGGAAUAUUGGUCAAUGGACGAGAGUCUGAACCAGCCAAGUCGCGUGAGGGAAGACUGCCCUAUGGGUUGUAAACCUCUUUUAUAAGGGAAGAAUAAGUUCUACGUGUAGAAUGAUGCCUGUACCUUAUGAAUAAGCAUCGGCUAACUCCGUG